rnacentral:sRNA from 1 species
GCCAGGCGCAGUGACACAUGCCUGUAAUCCCAGUGACUCAGGAGGCUGAGGCAGGAGGAUCUUAAGUUUGAGGCCAGCCUAAGCAACUUUAGGGAGACCCUGUCUCAA